CCUACGGGAGGCAGCAGUGAGGAAUAUUGGUCAAUGGCCGCAAGCCUGAACCAGCCACGUCGCGUGAGGGAUGACGGUCCUAUGGAUUUUAAACCUCUUUUGUCAGGGAGCAAAGGGCGCCACGUGUGGCGUUUUGCGAGUACCUUACGAAAAAGCAUCGGCUAACUCCGUGCCAGCAGCCGCGGUAAUACGGAGGAUGCGAGCGUUAUCCGGAUUUAUUGGGUUUAAAGGGUGCGCAGGCGGAUUGUCAAGUCAGCGGUAAAAUUUCGUGGCUCAACCCCGUCGUGCCGUUGAAACUGGCGUUCUUGAGUGAGCGAGAAGUAGGCGGAAUGCGUGGUGUAGCGGUGAAAUGCGUAGAUAUCACGCAGAACUCCGAUUGCGAAGGCAGCAUACCGGCGCUCAACUGACGCUGAUGCACGAAAGCGUGGGUAUCGAACAGGAUUAGAUACCCCUGUAGUC
rnacentral:rRNA from 1 species